GGUGGCUCAGUGGUAGAGUGCUUGCUUUGCAUGCAUGAGGUCCUGGGUUUGAUUCCUCAGUACCA
rnacentral:tRNA from 1 species